rnacentral:rRNA from 1 species
CCUACGGGUGGCAGCAGUGAGGAAUAUUGGUCAAUGGCCGAGAGGCUGAACCAGCCAAGUCGCGUGAGGAAGACGGCCCUACGGGUUGUAAACCUCUUUUGUCGGGGAGCAAAGAGAGUCACGUGUGACUCAUUGAGAGUACCCGAAGAAAAAGCAUCGGCUAACUCCGUGCCAGCAGCCGCGGUAAUACGGAGGAUGCGAGCGUUAUCCGGAUUGAUGGGGUUAAAGGGGUGCGCAGGCGGAGGUGCAAGUCAGCGGUAAAAUUGCGGGGCUCAACCCCGUCGAGCCGUUGAAACUGGCAGACUUGAGUUGGCGAGAAGUACGCGGAAUGUGCGGUGUAGCGGUGAAAUGCAUAGAUAUCGCGCAGAACUCCGAUUGCGAAGGCAGCGUACCGGCGCCAGACUGACGCUGAGGCACGAAAGCGUGGGGAUCGAACAGGAUUAGAUACCCUUGUAGUC